rnacentral:lncRNA from 1 species
GUCCGCAUGGCUGAAUAGGCUUGUGACUCAAGUUCAGGACAGAAUCGAGGCUCUAUCUUAAGCUUGUCGGUGCCCGUGCAAGUCGUUAGGUUUCACUUUCUAUCGUUGGCUGGAUCCCGACUUUGGAGUUGGUAAAUACCAAUCCAGAGGGUUGGAUAGAAGCCAAUGACAUAACACCGCUUCACCUUAAUCUCUUGGAUC